AAGUUUAACCACAGUUUAUUUUGUAGACUGAGAGUUUAUAAAAUCAACCCACUCCUUGCUUUAAUUUCAAACUAUGUAUAGGUUUGAAGGAAAACACUGGGUUUGUAAAAAUUUCCAUAUUUUGGAUAUAAAUAUAAUGGUGGCUUCUAACACGAGGGAGCUAUCAAAUCCCUCACCGGUGAGGCACUUAAAAAAUACCUUUAGAUCAAAUGGAUGGUUAUGAUCUUUUAAAAAAAAGAAGAGAACACCUAUAGAUAUUUACAUUCAAUUUUACCCUUAAUAUUAUUCCUGAUUUCGUAUAACAUGUUUCGUAUAAGUUUUCUUUCAUCACAACAAAAACAAUUCUUCAUCAAAUCACAUAAAGCAUAUGCAAUCAUAGCCAUCUCCCUUAAGAAAACCCUAAUUUCAACACUCUGACCCUCUUCUUCAUCUUCCACCAAUUCGGCAGUAAUAAUAGUUUUAUUUACGGUAAAGCCAGCGAUAGAUUGUUGCUUCAGAGUUGAGAUUAUAUUUCGAAUACUUGAUUUCGUGCCGUACACACACAAGCGAAGUGUGGAGUGAAGCGUAGUGUAAGUAAUGAAUGCCAGCGAACCUUGAAUUUCCACCUCUGUUACAAGAAGAAGAAGAGCAGGCAGUACCAAUUCAACCAACAGCAGUCAGUCACCGAACGAGAAAGAUCUGUCUGUAAAAAGAGCAGAAAUCCCAAUCCCAAGGAAGGAAGGGAAGAAGAAGAAAGAGAGUAAAAAGGCGCUUUCACGAUCUGUGACUGACUGACCCUCAGUAAUGAUAAUGCUUGCUUGCUUAUGUUCAAAUUAAUCUAUCAGCGUGGGAGUGGGAAGGGAAGGGAAGGUUCAAAAUAUAUAAAGUAGCCAAUAUAAAUCAAAAACGGAUUUGUAAACAUGAAAGCUACUGUUACCAUAUCAGUAUUAUUAUUUCAUUUUACAUUAUCUAUUACUAAUAUAUUAAAAUCGAUUUUUGUUACUUCAUGUAUGAAUAUGAUGAUUUAAAUUCCUUGUCAGUUUAUAAUAAUGGAUUGUGUGAAUAUUUUCAGUGAUGGUAUACGCCUUCUUAUGGGUUUGUUAGUAAGGGCAUAGAUAUGAAAUUUGUUGAUGAUGAGGCAUAGAAUAUGGGCGGUGUAGCUAUGAGAUGAUGAUGUGUUGGUUGGUUAGGCUUUAAUAUGGGUGUAGCUAUAUGAAGUUUAUACUAUGUUUUAUGGUUUAUCUAGACUCUCAAGUUCUUCUGAGUAGUCAAGAUGCAAGUAGCAAUUGUACUUUUCAAAGUUUAGAAUUAGCUUCAAGAGCAGAUGCAAAGAGCUAUAAGUAAUAUUGGGAAUGGAAGUCAGAAAGGGAUGAAGAAAAGUUGAAAGACAGAACCAGAUUGAGUAUAUGAGUGGUUUGUAUGAUCCUUCAUUUUUCUGGAAUGAUCAAGCCUCCAAAAUUUCAAUUCUAUGAUUCAAAGACACCUUUCUUCACUUCCCCGAGAUUCUUACCACCCACCAGAGUAGAAAAAUGCAAGGUAUUCCCCGAGAUUCUUACCACCCACCAAAGUAGAAAAAUGCAAGGUAUUGAAUCUUUUUCAUCUUCUAUUUGGUAUACGCCUUCUUAUGGAUUUUGCUAUCUAGGAUACCAUGAUGAUGGGUGCUGAUUAGUGAUUACUAUCAAACUGAGACUGAAAUUGCAUCUCUGCUGGCAGAAGCAAAUGUCCUAGUUGGUGUUGGAUUAGUGCUGCUUUGUUUCAAUAGGAGCUAGCUGGGUGUCGAUUGUUGAAUUCAUUAGUGAAGCUGUCUGUGUAUUGUUGUGCUUCUGCUAUGCUGGUUCUGUUUUGUGUUAUAGAGGUCCAGCUUCAUGAUUUAUAUUUUGUUAGAGUAGGUGGUUGCAUUAUGGUUGUAUUGAUUUAGUACAGGGGCUGUACCAGUAUUUUUGUUCCAUUGUUGAAAGGGAGGAGUGUAUUGUAUCAUACUGUUGUUUUCUGAACCAGCACUUUUUGUGCUUAGUUCACUUAUUAAUCUAUUUUUGCUUUUCCAAAAAAAAAAAAAUCAUCCUAAAUCCAACUAUCCAAGUGACUAUUUUUUGUUUUGUUAUAAAUCAUUAAAUGUAAUGAUGAUGAAGUUAAUUUAGUAGGAGAUUUGGGAGCAUAAUUCAGUACUUCUAACACUGUUUCAGAGGUAGUUUUUGGCUUCAUUUCCUUUUUAUAAUAUUUGUUUGGUUUGUAUUUCAAAUCUGAACCAGCUUGUUUGAUACAAAAACUGGAUUUCUUAUAGUGAAUUGGUUUUGAACUGAUUUUGAUUUGAACCAGUCUCAAAUUUGGUUUUUGUUUUGCCACCGUAAACAUCAAAAUGAGACAUUAAUAUCAGAUCUGGAAUUCUCUUAUCAUCCUCUUCCUACGUAUCCGAAUGAAAUCACAAAUCGAUUGCGAUGCUUUAAAUGCGACGGCGUCUGGUGGUCACGGUAGCAAAUGGGUCUCGGAGAAGAACCUUAGUGGUGAAAGUUUACCGGUGAAGUUAUUAAGGUCAUAUUUUUCUGUUGUUUCUUUCUUUCUCUCCUCUUUUAUGUUGUUUCUGAUUAUUUCGUUCUUUUUUCAAAUUGCAAUAACUGGAACCCAAAUUAAAAGCUUCACUUUCAGGUAUCAACAUAAGGAUAUCAUAUUUUUUGUAUUUUCUGUCUACAAAAAUUAUUCUGAUACUUGGAUCUGUCAUGAAUGUUGAAAUUUAUAUUUGUGCAUCCUUAGUUUUCAUCUAUCUAUACGAACUGUUGAAAAUUGUUAGAAUAUGAUCAAUGAUUUGUCUCUGUUUGAUAUGAUGUAUUAUUCUUAUACUUGGAUCUGUCAUGAAUCUUUGAUAUCUAAAGUUAGAAAGAGAUAUAUUGAGUUACUUGUUAAGAUAAUCUAGAGUAGAUGUAUAAUUUGUCUCUGUUUGAUAUGAUUUUAAAUAACUGAAAAGUUAUAUGGGUGAAAAGAGAAAAGUGGAGAUAAAAUGUUAGAGAUGCCAUACUAAUACUUUCAGCUCUUCCUGGUUCAAGAAUAGAUUCAAGUGAUUUUUAGAAGAUGCUAACAGAACUAUGAGAUGUGCAAAGGCUACUUCAACAAAGCUUUGAUUCAGAUGAGGAAGAGAAACAAGUUUAAAUGAGACACUUGCAUUUUAUCAUAGGUAAAUGUAUUUUAGUGACAUUAUUUAUUGAUGUAUGUUUUAGUGAAGAAUGUUGCUUUGAAUUGGAUUUUCUUGUUGAUCCCUUUGUUGCUGUUAUAUGGUGGUUUUUGGUAAGUUAUGCAGGCUAGUUUUGAGCAUGCUAGUAGUGUUCUUGAGUAUCUUUAAAUACUUCAAUUAAUACAUAAUAUAUAUUAUGGCUUUGUUUAAAUAUCAUGUCUUUACCACUUUCGUCAAGUGCAACUUAGAUGCAGCACUCUCCUCGACAGAAAACAAGGCUGGACUGGGAGCGUGCAUAAGGGUCGAUAAAGGACAGUUUGUAGCAGCUAUGACAGCAAGCAUCAACGCAAAGUUUUCGGCAGCGGAAGCAGAAGCAUGGUGUUUGCAGCAAAGUCUUCAAUGGAUAUCAACACUUGGCUACACUAAGGUCUGGAAGAAUUAUGUAUGUGAGGUAUCUGAAUCGGGUAUUUGCACUACAGUUGGUAGGGUGACCCCAGAAAUUUACGCGCAAUUCGCAGCCGCAGCUAAGGAAAGCUAUGCAUUGGAACAUUAUGCUCCACUCUUACUUAGCCUUCAGAAUUGCAAUUUUGUCAGGGAUGCAUUCACUGGAAUAACUUCAAGUCACUGUCCUCCAUUAAAGCAUUAGUGAAGUGUCUGUGAAGCUAUCCUUAAAAGAAAAAAUAAAGAGCAGAUUUAACAAGAACCAGAAUAGCACAAAUUUAGUAUUGCCAAAUGCAAUUAGUGAAGUAUAGAUUGUAAAAUAGAAUAUUUGUUGAUAAAGAAGCAAGCUACUAUUGUUUUUACUGUACUCUAUAUACUAAAGGAAUAAGCAAAGGUGGAGCGAAGCUGCCGCCUGAGUUAGAAGUUAAUAGAAAACCUAGUGUACUACUUAGUUUGUUCAUAUA